rnacentral:rRNA from 1 species
UGGGGAAUAUUGGACAAUGGGCGAAAGCCUGAUCCAGCCAUGCCGCGUGUGUGAAGAAGGUCUUCGGAUUGUAAAGCACUUUAAGUUGGGAGGAAGGGCAGUUACCUAAUACGUAUCUGUUUUGACGUUACCGACAGAAUAAGCACCGGCUAACUCUGUGCCAGCAGCCGCGGUAAUACAGAGGGUGCAAGCGUUAAUCGGAAUUACUGGGCGUAAAGCGCGCGUAGGUGGUUUGUUAAGUUGGAUGUGAAAUCCCCGGGCUCAACCUGGGAACUGCAUUCAAAACUGACAAGCUAGAGUAUGGUAGAGGGUGGUGGAAUUUCCUGUGUAGCGGUGAAAUGCGUAGAUAUAGGAAGGAACACCAGUGGCGAAGGCGACCACCUGGACUGAUACUGACACUGAGGUGCGAAAGCGUGGGGAGCAAACA